UACGUAGGGGGCAAGCGUUGUCCGGAAUCAUUGGGCGUAAAGCGCGUGUAGGCGGCUCGACAAGUCUGGUGUGAAAUCUUGGGGCUCAACCCUGAGCUGUCACUGGAUACUGUCGGGCUUGAGUCCGGAAGAGGAGUGUGGAAUUCCUGGUGUAGCGGUGGAAUGCGCAGAUAUCAGGAGGAACACCAAUGGCGAAGGCAGCACUCUGGUACGUGACUGACGCUGAGACGCGAAAGCGUGGGGAGCAAACAGG
rnacentral:rRNA from 1 species